rnacentral:rRNA from 1 species
CCUACGGGAGGCAGCAGUGGGGAAUUUUGGACAAUGGGCGCAAGCCUGAUCCAGCCAUGCCGCGUGAGUGAAGAAGGCCUUCGGGUUGUAAAGCUCUUUCGCAAGGAAAGAAAACUUAGCCACUAAUACUGGCUGAGGAUGACGGUACCUUGAUAAGAAGCACCGGCUAACUACGUGCCAGCAGCCGCGGUAAU